CAGUCGAGCGAGCUUGCCUAUUGAAUUCUUCGGAAUGGACAUAGAUACAAGCUAGCGGCGGAUGGGUGAGUAACGCGUGGGUAACCUGCCCUUAAGUCUGGGAUACCAUUUGGAAACAGAUGCUAAUACCGGAUAAAAGCUACUUUCGCAUGAAAGAAGUUUAAAAGGCGGCGUAAGCUGUCGCUAAAGGAUGGACCUGCGAUGCAUUAGCUAGUUGGUAAGGUAACGGCUUACCAAGGCGAUGAUGCAUAGCCGAGUUGAGAGACUGAUCGGCCACAUUGGGACUGAGACGCGGCCCAAACUCCUACGGGAGGCAGCAGUAGGGAAUCUUCCACAAUGGACGCAAGUCUGAUGGAGCAACGCCGCGUGAGUGAAGAAGGUUUUCGGAUCGUAAAGCUCUGUUGUUGGUGAAGAAGGAUAGAGGUAGUAACUGGCCUUUAUUUGACGGUAAUCAACCUGAAAGUCACGGCUAACUACGUGCCAGCAGCCGCGGUAAUACGUAGGUGGCAAGCGUUGUCCGGAUUUAUUGGGCGUAAAGCGAGCGCAGGCGGAUUGAUAAGUCUGAUGUGAAAGCCUUCGGCUCAACCGAAGAACUGCGUCAGAAACUGUCAAUCUUGAGUGCAGAAGAGGAGAGUGGAACUCCAUGUGUAGCGGUGGAAUGCGUAGAUAUAUGGAAGAACACCAGUGGCGAAGGCGGCUCUCUGGUCUGUAACUGACGCUGAGGCUCGAAAGCAUGGGUAGCGAACAGGAUUAGAUACCCUGGUAGUCCAUGCCGUAAACGAUGAGUGCUAAGUGUUGGGAGGUUUCCGCCUCUCAGUGCUGCAGCUAACGCAUUAAGCACUCCGCCUGGGGAG
rnacentral:rRNA from 1 species